rnacentral:rRNA from 1 species
AGCGAACGCUGGCGGCAUGCCUAACACAUGCAAGUCGCACGGGGGGGCUUCGGCCUCCCAGUGGCGGACGGGUGAGGAACGCGUAGGGACCUAUCGAGGGGUGGGGGAUAACCGCGGGAAACUGCGGCUAAUACCGCAUGACGCCGCGGCGUGACAGCCGGGGCCAAAGGCGAAAGCCGCCCGCCGAGGGGCCUGCGUCCGAUUAGCUGGUUGGCGGGGUAGCGGCCCACCAAGGCGUCGAUCGGUAGCUGGUCUGAGAGGGUGAUCAGCCACACCGGGACUGAGACACGGCCCGGACUCCUACGGGAGGCAGCAGUGGGGAAUAUUGGACAAUGGGCGCAAGCCUGAUCCAGCAAUGCCGCGUGGGUGAAGAAGGUCUUCGGAUUGUAAAGCCCUUUCGGCGGGGACGAUGGUGACGGUACCCGCAGAAGAAGCCCCGGCUAACUUCGUG